rnacentral:rRNA from 1 species
GGUUGAUCCCGCCGGCGGCCACUGCUAUCAGGUUUCGACUAAGCCAUGCGAGUCAUGGGGUCGCAAGACACCGGCGCACCGCUCAGUAACACGCGGACAAUCUACCCCCAGGAGGGGAAUAACCUCGGGAAACUGAGGGUAAUUCCCCAUAGCCACCAUAUGCUGGAAUGCUUUGGUGGCAAAAGCUCCGGCGCCUGAGGAUGAGUCUGCGGCCUAUCAGGUAGUAUGUGGUGUAAAGGACCACAUAGCCGAGGACGGGUACGGGCCCUGAGAGGGGGAGCCCGGAGAUGGACUCUGAGACACUAGUCCAGGCCCUACGGGGCGCAGCAGGCGCGAAAACUGUGCAAUGCGCGAAAGCGCGACACGGGAAACCUGAGUGCCUUGACAAAGUCAAGGCUUUUCUUAAGCCUAAAAAGCUUAAGGAAUAAGAGCUGGGUAAGACGGGUGCCAGCCGCCGCGGUAACACCCGCAGCUCAAGUGGUGGUCACUUUUAUUGAGCCUAAAGCGUUCGUAGCCGGUCCUGUAAAUCUUCAGAAAAAUUCUCCCGCUCAACGGGAGAUCCCCUGAAGAGACUGUGGGACUAGGGACUGGGUGAGGUUGAAUGUACUUCUGGGGUAGGGGUAAAAUCCUGUAAUCCUGGAAGGACAACCG